rnacentral:rRNA from 1 species
AACGAACGCUGGCGGCAGGCUUAACACAUGCAAGUCGAACGCACCUUUCGGGGUGAGUGGCAGAAGGGUGAGUAACGCGUGGGAAUCUACCCUUCUCUACGGGAUAGCUCCGGGAAACUGGAAUUAAUACCGUAUACGUCCUGAGGGAGAAAGAUUUAUCGGGGAAGGAUGAGCCCGCGUUGGAUUAGCUAGUUGGUGGGGUAAAGGCCUACCAAGGCGACGAUCCAUAGCUGGUCUAAGAGGAUGAUCAGCCACAUUGGGACUGAGACACGGCCCAAACUCCUACGGGAGGCAGCAGUGGGGAAUAUUGGACAAUGGGCGCAAGCCUGAUCCAGCCAUGCCGCGUGAGUGAUGAAGGCCCUAGGGUUGUAAAGCUCUUUCAGUGGGGACGAUAAUGACGGUACCCACAGAAGAAGCCCCGGCUAACUUCGU